AACGAACGCUGGCGGCAGGCUUAACACAUGCAAGUCGAGCGCCCCGCAAGGGGAGCGGCAGACGGGUGAGUAACGCGUGGGAACGUACCUUUUGCUACGGAAUAGCUCCGGGAAACUGGAAUUAAUACCGUAUGUGCCCUUCGGGGGAAAGAUUUAUCGGCAAAAGAUCGGCCCGCGUUGGAUUAGCUAGUUGGUGGGGUAAAGGCCUACCAAGGCGACGAUCCAUAGCUGGUCUGAGAGGAUGAUCAGCCACAUUGGGACUGAGACACGGCCCAAACUCCUACGGGAGGCAGCAGUGGGGAAUAUUGGACAAUGGGCGCAAGCCUGAUCCAGCCAUGCCGCGUGAGUGAUGAAGGCCCUAGGGUUGUAAAGCUCUUUCACCGGAGAAGAUAAUGACGGUAUCCGGAGAAGAAGCCCCGGCUAACUUCGUGCCAGCAGCCGCCGUAAAAC
rnacentral:rRNA from 1 species